UACGUAGGUCGCAAGCGUUGUCCGGAUUUACUGGGCGUAAAGAGCGCGCAGGCGGCUGGUCAAGUCCGAUGUGAAAUCUCCCGGCUCAACUGGGAAACUGCAUCGGAAACUGAUCGGCUUGAAGAUGGGAGAGGGUAGUGGAAUUCCCGGUGUAGUGGUGAAAUGCGUAGAUAUCGGGAGGAACAUCUGUGGCGAAGGCGACACCCUGGACCAGCACUGACACUGAGGCACGAAAGCGUGGGGAGCAAACAGG
rnacentral:rRNA from 1 species